GAGGCAGCGGUGAUGGGGACUUCCCUUUGGUCCUCGGGCAGGUGCACCCUCUCUGUCUGGGUCUUCAGGUCUCCGCGGUGUCCACGUCCCCAAGAUGGGCUAUAAAUGCCCCUGGCGCUCCUCACGGGGUCACACUGUCUUCAGGAAAAGGGGAGGAAAAGAGACGUGAGGAUAAGAAAAUUCUUCCACCCAUAGCCUGACUUUCCCGUGAUGAGAAAAUCUAACACCAAACCUAACCAACAGACAAAUCAUACAAAUAACAGCAGCUACCGAUCCAUCUCACCUAGCAGGAGGCACUGCUAUGUCCUGCGAUUCCCCUCUCUGACUCCACUUCAUCCUGUUGAAUCCCGUGGCUCUCAAGGGAAAGAAAACUCUUUACUCAAGAAACUCACUUUAGAUCCUUUGUAGAACAAAGCUUUUCUGGCCUUAAUGGAAAAAGGGAAGCAAAACCAGCACCCAGAGCAAGGGUUUCUUAUUAGCCAUGCGCUUAAUGGGACCUGUUUAGAAUCAUGCACUGUUUCCAAUGUCUGCAUUUUUGGAAGUGCCCCCUCCAGAUGGCAGUGCAUGCUGGGCUUCUAGAACUGGUCCAUGCUGGCCACUUUCACUGAGGGUCUGGGCCGUGUGUGUCUUCUGGGCUUCUCAGAUGGGUGGGGCUCUGGGGCAGGAGAGUAAACCCUGCUUUGCAGAAGAAAAGAUGAGGCAGGAAGGGUAGCUGAGACCAGGGUUGGGCCAGGAUGGGAGGAACUGGUGACAUCUGAGGACCCCUCAGCUCCUAGCUCUCUAAGACAUGACCUCAUCCAACUCUGACAACACCCUGUUCUGGAAGUGAGGAAAAUAUGCCUCAGAGAGGUUUAGCAGCUCUCCCAAGGUGGUUUGGCCAGUGAGGAACAGUCUUUCUGACUCCACGGCCAGAUGUUCAGGGCUUUGCAUGCCAGCUAUCUCCAGGUGGGUGUCGGCUUUCUCUCCCUGGAGAGUUUUGCUUUUCUCUUCACUGGUGAAAGGCUUUGUAUGUGAAUUCAAAGAACAAAGUGAGCGUCAGAGGAAGAGGAUAUUUUCUCUGGAAAAGGCAGAAAACCCCAGCUUGGAGUCAGCAGCCAAGAGCUGUCAGUUCUGACAAGACAGUGGUCACGAUUUCCCCUCCGUAGUCUCAGGACCCAGGAGAGCCUUGGCAACUUUACAAGAAUAAAUGAUGGAGAGAACCAAUGGCUCUCUCCACCUCUGCUGCUCUUUCCUGCCCCUCAGCCUCAUGCCCGCUUAGGGAAACAAAACGGCACCAGCAGUGACAAUAGAGGCACACACGCAUGCACAUGCACGCAUGCACACACACAUGCACGCAGUUGCACACAUAUGUACACACAUUCUUGCACACACAUGCGCACACAGAUGUGCACACACAUACUUUACAGGACAUGGAGGGUCUUGUGGUUUGGAAACAAAAGAGGAGGAACUGGGAAGAUCUCAGUGGAGAGGACCCUGAAUGCUUGACCUCCAGGAGUUGGUCACCCUUGGUUCCCAUCAGACGUUGCUUCUUCCGUAAGCUCAUCUUGUGCCCCUAAAUAUAAGAUCCAUGAGAGCAGAGACCACUAUUCACUGCUGCAUCCGUGAGGCCCAGAAGAGGGCUUGACAUCACGUGGCAUUUUUAGAAAACAAAUGUUUUUUUCACUGACCAUAGCUGUCUGCAGGGACCUUGUGUGGGAACCAGGACCUGGGGAUCGGGUGUCGGGGCUACAGGUUUCUCCUGAGAUGAGCUGGCAGAGAGCUGAGAUGAGCUGUUCAGGUGCACAGAGGCUGCCUCAAGCUCAGAAGCACAAGGGUGGGCAGAAUAGAAUGGGGUGGCUGCCUGUGGGCCUGGCGGGUUGAUGCCCAGGAGGAUGGAGAGAUUGGAGCAGGGCAUGAGGUGACGGGAGGUGGGGGUGAGGUGGGUGUCACUCUCCUGCUGCCCGCCCACCCCCCCGCUCCUCUCCUCAUGCAUGCCCCCACCCUUGUUGAAUGUACCCAAGGCUUGCAACCCCUUCCUCUUUCUCCUGAACUCUUUGGGCUGUUGGUGGGAUGCCCUCCCCCCAUUAGAGGUGGGAGAAGCCAGGGAGGUGACCCAGUUCUGCCCCCCUUGAGUCCACUGCACUGUAGAGACACUGCCUCCUACCUCCCAACCUCUUCAGCUUUACUUGUUUGCUGGAUUUUUUUUGCACCUUAUAGUGGAAAAUUUUUAAACAUUUACAAAAAUAGAGAGAAAGUAUAAUGAACCCCCUAUGCCCAUCAAUGAUUUUUUUCAUGAUUCUUGAUAUUUGCCAACCCUGUUUCAUGUCUUUCACAUUUUUCCUGGAUGGUUGUAAAGCAGACCCCAGACAUUAAGUCAUUUCACUUGUAAACAUGUGAAUAGGCAUAUUUUGUUGAUAAGGACAUUUUCUUUUUAAACAUAAAGUCAGUCACCCUACCCUCAUCUGGCUGGGAAUGUCUCUUCAAAGCUGGACACCAACAAUCCCUCCCGUUUCUACCCCAUUCCUCAGGAGUGUGAAGGCUGGGCCCCAUCCCUCGAAUCUCGGCCAGGCUUGUGACCUGCUUUAACCAAUAUAACGUGAUGGAAGGAACACCACGUAAUGUCCAAACCCAGGUUAACAGGCCUUGCAGUCUCUGCGUUUUCCUUCUUGGGACCCAGUUGCCAUGUAGUGAAUCUUGGUCUGGAGUAUAAAUGCUGAGAUUCCAUGAACAGAGGGAGCCAGAUGGCUACAAGAGCCCCAGCCACCUCUGCAGAGGCAUCAGACAUGUGGAUGAAGUCGUCUAGAAUGUUCCUGCCCACCUGGGCUCCCAGCUGAGUGGAGCCACAUGAAUGACCCCAGCCAGGACCACACUCAGUGAAGAACCCCUCAGGUGAGGUCCAAGUAUAUACUUUGGAAUCCAUUGCAGGCAUCUCUCCCGUAAUGUGUACUGUCAUGAAUGUGCUUCAGCACAGUGUCCAAGAGGGCCUCAGGAAUCAAAACAGUUCCUUGUGCAUUACAUUUCCAGCCAGGUCUGUGGGUCUAUUUCUUUUGGUAGCCUUCCACUGUGGCCCUUCACAACUUGAGCCGAUUCAACACGCUUCCUGUGGUGGUGGGCGUCCUCCAGAGCCGUGGAGUCCUGAUAGCCUCAAAAUCUCUGGCAUUGUACCCGCAGCGUAGUAUAAACUCAGAGAACAUUUGUGGAAUGAAUGAAGGUGUUUCCCUCCCUGGAUGGUGGGGUCUGGGUGCUCACCAUCAUUUUGUCCUAACAUCUCCACUUGUCACCCUUAGAAAACAGUAUCUGAUGAACAACGGCCGUGGACUAAACGGUCCUUCCCUAGAUCACAGUGUAUUUGCCUCUGAGGCAUCGAAGGGGCCCACAGGGUGCAUUCUCUUGACAGGGUGAAUGCAGAACUCUUCCCUAAGUCCUUUUGAGAGAAAAAGAAGAAUUCCAGCUAGUUGAAAAAUAAGAGUUGGCUGAAGGGUUUGGCUCGAAGUUAGAGACGGGAAGGUCUGUAUAUCUUAAGCAUCCUUGGAGAUCUAGCAUGUUGGCAAGAGAGACCUCUCCAUCACAGGACGACCUCAGAAAUAGAAGCUGGCAAAUUUCAUCCAAGUUCAUUGCCAGGGCUUUGGAUUUAUGAAUUCACCCAUGAACUAAGACUUCCCACCGUGUCUGCCUCUAUUUGUGAUAGCAAAGCAGCGAAAGCAAUCACCCCCUCAGCCAUCUCCCUCAUACACUAACAAAGAGGGGCAGAAAAGUCUUCUACUUUAAACUCCCUCAUGUGUCUCAAGAAGCAGAAGAUGCUUUCUGGGAAUCCCCUGGUGGUCUGGUGGUUGGGACUCCAUCAUGCUUUCACUGUUGUGCCCGGGUUUGAUCCCUGGUUGGGGAACUAAGAUCCCACCAGCCACACAGCACGGCUUGGGGGGGAAAGAAAAAGAAGCGGAAGUUGCUUUCUGAUUUGCUGCUGAGAAGGCAGCAGUCCAGCGGUUAUUUAGCUCGUUGCUAGGGGGUCAUGCAUGUGCACACUUAUUCACAGGUGUUUACGGAGCACCCUCAGUCCCAGGCACGGGGUUAGGCAGUGCUUACCAUGUUGAGAGACAGUUCUCCAUGGGUCUCUCUCAUCCCUCACAUCGUGUCAGUGAGGCACAGGCUGUCCUUUGUUCUGGACCAUCUUUGCAAGGAUGUUUGUGGAACAAGUGGUCUUGGAGGAUGGAGACAGUGCUUCCCUCCAGAGCGGAGGGUGGGCAUGCUUACUUCCCAUUAUAAUGGACUCAACUUCUCCUAGCCAGCACUUGCUUCCAGAACUUAACCCACUCAUGUGGACAUGCAGCCAUCUGGGACCAUUCACAUUGCCAUGUGGGAUUUGGGGACAAAGAGAACUGAUGAAAAGAUGCUGGUAUUCAUGUCCCGGUUGUGCCAUGAGUGAGGAAGCCCUCGGUCUCUGAACAAGGACUCCUGUGCCUUCUGUCCACACCCCUGGAAGUGUUACAGAAUGACCUGUUAACUCGAAAGCAGGCCCGCUGCAUGGAAGCUCCAGUGCCUUGUUGGGGGAUGGAUCAGAGAUAAAGUAAGCAUUCUCCCUGCCCAGUGGGAACAUUAUUUAUUUGCACAUCCGUGUGUACUGGUUGCUGCGUGCACGUGUCCGUGUCCAUGCACUCACUAAGUUGCUCUGCUCCUUGGUAUGGCAGCCUCACCUAUGCAGUCAGCCUGUGACCUCUCCCUCCUGGGUGGCGUCUGCACUGAGCCUCCUUGGCCAACCCGGCCUUGCAGCUUCCAUGUCACUGAAACAGGAGGGAAGGGGGCAGGGCACAACCUCUAAAAGAAUGACAUAGCCCUUGAGGACACGACCUAAACUGGUUAGAACCAAUUAGGUCCAAGAUGGCAGAAGAUUUGACUUCCAGUGGACCUUGAGACUCAUUUUACGCUCAUUGUAAUACAUCAGCAUCUAAAUGACACACCCACAGGAGCCAUGACAGUUCUGAUGCCGACCAUAAAGGGCCAAAAAGUGGGUGGUGGCCCAGUUCCUGAAAAUCUCCACCCCUUCUCCAAAAUAGUUGGAAUGCCCCUCCCACUUAUUAGCCUAUGAAAUUACCCAGCCCAUAAAAACUAACCCGCCCCCCCAUAUUUUGGGGCCUCUCGCCUUCUGAGACAGACUUCACUCUGUCUGUGGAGUGUGUUUCUUCCAAGGCUGUUCUCGCCUUUUGAGAUGAAUCACAUUCUGUAUGCGGAAUGUAUAUCUCUCUAAAUAAAUCUACUUCUUACUUAUCAUUUUGUCUCUCACUGAAUUCUUUCUGUGAUGAGACAUAAAGAACCUGAGCUUCAUUAAGUCCUGAGACCAGGUGUGUGAUUUCAAUUAAAAGACAGUGGGUGUAAGUCCCAAUCUGAGCUGUGCAGUUUCAUCACCACUGCAUCUUAUUCUGGCUGGGCCUGGGACCCAGUGGGCUGGGGAGCAGGCUGUGCUUCCAUAAAGUUUUCCAGGACACUGGGUAGGCCAGGGGGAUGAGGCUGAGGGGAGGGGAGGGAAGAAGUGAGGUGCCAGGGAGCCCAGCUUCUGUGCGCCAGUUCUCAGACUGCAGUCAGUACAGUCAGACCUGGGGCUGUGGAGGGAGGGAGGGAGGGAGGGGUGACCAGUAUUCCUCUUCCCACACAGGUACCAACCCUCAGGGAGGCCCAGGGGCUCAUCCUCUCCCUGGAGCCUUUUUAAAGGAAGGCACUUCUGAAACAGCAGGACCCUGUGGGGCUCCUGGGCAUGGAAGCCUUUCUGUGUCCCCCAUUUCUUUUUGGUAGGGAAUAGAUUCCAGCCUCCAUGACCUUCCCUGAGUUCCAAACGGGAGUUUCAAACAGCUGCUAAUCAGGGAAGGGAGGGGAUGCAGAGACAAGGGAGGAGCAGGUAAGAAACAACAGUGCAGCCCUGGGGCAGGGUCCUGGUUCUGCCUCAUGGGAUACACACAACAAUAUCUUUGAGCUGUUCUGCAGAACUA